GCCCCGGUGGCUUAGACUGGCCAAAGCGUCUGCUUGGUAUCUCCCGGUCUCAGGGGGCCAAUUAGCAGAAGAUCGCGGGUUCAAAUCCCGCCCGGGGCU
rnacentral:tRNA from 1 species